AUGCAGUCGUAACAAGGUAGCCGUAACUUGCUGCUUCGCUGACGAGUGGCGGACGGGUGAGUAAUGUCUGGGAAACUGCCUGAUGGAGGGGGAUAACUACUGGAAACGGUAGCUAAUACCGCAUAACGUCGCAAGACCAAAGAGGGGGACCUUCGGGCCUCUUGCCAUCAGAUGUGCCCAGAUGGGAUUAGCUAGUAGGUGGGGUAACGGCUCACCUAGGCGACGAUCCCUAGCUGGUCUGAGAGGAUGACCAGCCACACUGGAACUGAGACACGGUCCAGACUCCUACGGGAGGCAGCAGUGGGGAAUAUUGCACAAUGGGCGCAAGCCUGAUGCAGCCAUGCCGCGUGUAUGAAGAAGGCCUUCGGGUUGUAAAGUACUUUCAGCGGGGAGGAAGGCGAUGCGGUUAAUAACCGCGUCGAUUGACGUUACCCGCAGAAGAAGCACCGGCUAACUCCGUGCCAGCAGCCGCGGUAAUACGGAGGGUGCAAGCGUUAAUCGGAAUUACUGGGCGUAAAGCGCACGCAGGCGGUCUGUCAAGUCGGAUGUGAAAUCCCCGGGCUCAACCUGGGAACUGCAUCCGAAACUGGCAGGCUUGAGUCUCGUAG
rnacentral:rRNA from 1 species